rnacentral:misc_RNA from 1 species
AAGAAGAAGAAGAAUAGAGAGAAGGCAGAAAUCUCAGAGAAGAAGGAGAAUUAGAGGGAAGAAGAGAGGAAGAGAGAAGAGCAGAAGAAACCUGGUAUUUGGGAAGAGUGAUCUGUCAUAGAUGCAACUCCCAUGAAGCAAUUUCUAGUAGUUGCUCACUGUUCUAACAGCUCCGUUAUCAAUUUGUUAUGUAACCAGAUUCUCCAUCUCAGAAAGAAUAGAGAUAAAGAGGAAAUAGAAGGGGGAGAAGGAAUAGAAGAAGACAGGAGGGGAGAAAGAAUAGAUUUAGGAAGAAAAGAAUGAAGAUUUUAUUGAUAAUAUUCUGGAAUAGUUU